GUCCACGCCGUAACGAUGGAUGCUAGCCGUUGGUAAGCAUGCUUAUCAGUGGCGCAGCUAACGCAUUAAGCAUCCCGCCUGGGAGUACGGCCGCAAGGUUGAAACUCAAAGGAAUUGACGGGGCCCGCACAAGCGGUGGAGCAUGUGGUUUAAUUCGACGCAACGCGCAGAACCUUACCAGGCCUUGACAUCCCGUGCUAAGCCCAGAGAUGGGUGGUCCCCGCAAGGGGCCGGAGACAGGUGCUGCAUGGCUGUCGU
rnacentral:rRNA from 1 species